ACGGCUGAUCGCAGAGCUGUCACAGCUGCUUCACGCACAAGGGCAGCCAAAUCUGCACCCGAAAAAUUACUGCAUCUUUCAUCUCGACCAAGUACAUCCAAAUUUACCUCUUCGUGUAAGGGCGUCUGUUUUGUCAACGUUUUUAAAAUCUCCACCCGUUCAUGAGCAUCCGGUAAAUCAACAAGCAAUGUUUUAUCUAAACGACCAGGACGCAGCAUUGCUGGAUCUAUAAUAUCCGGUCGAUUGGUAGCAGCAAUUACAUAAACUCCUGAACGAUCGCUAAGACCGUCCAGUUCAGUAAGAAGGGUAUUUACAACUCUUGACGAGGCUUCUGACAGUGAGUCAUCACGCCUGGGUACCAUCGCAUCUAAUUCAUCAAAAAAGAUAACACAUGGAGAAGAUGCACGUGCUCUGAGGAAAACUUGUCGCACUGCACGUUCUGACUCACCAACAUACUUAUUAAGCAAUUCUGGACCACGAAUGGAUAUAAAAUUUGCUUUACUUUCAUUUGCAACCGCUUUAGCCAACAGAGUUUUACCACAUCCAGGAGGACCCCAUAGUAAAACGCCUGUAGGUGCACUGAUACCAACGCUUUGGUAAAGCUCCGGACGUUUGAUGGGCUGAACGAUGGCCAUUUGUAAUUCGACACGAAUUGAUUUUAGUGCACCAAUAUUAUUCCAAGAAACACCUGGAACGGUAGCAAAUCCUUCACGUUUAGACGAAGGUUGAACUUUGGCGAGUGCUUCAAUAAAAUCUUGUGGACAAAUAGCGAGUGGUUCAAGUUCCUCUGGAGAUAGUGGAUCAGGAUGAGCAUUCAAAUAUCUUUGAAUUAUAGAAGAAUGAUCAAGGGGUAAGCUGUCGUUUGAAUCUAA